rnacentral:rRNA from 1 species
AUUGAACGCUGGCGGCAGGCUUAACACAUGCAAGUCGAGCGAGCGGCGGACGGGUGAGUAAUGUAUGGGAAACUGCCCGAUGGAGGGGGAUAACUACUGGAAACGGUGGCUAAUACCGCAUACUAUCGGAUGUACCCAUAUGGGAUUAGCUAGUAGGUGGGGUAAUGGCUCACCUAGGCGACGAUCUCUAGCUGGUCUGAGAGGAUGACCAGCCACACUGGAACUGAGACACGGCCCAGACUCCGACGGGAGGCAGCAGUGGGGAAUAGUGCACAAUGGGCGCAAGCCUGAUGCAGCCAUGCCGCGUGUAUGAAGAAGGCCUUAGGGUUGUAAAGUACUUUCAGCGGGGAGGCGUUACCCGCAGAAGAAGCACCGGCUAACUCCGUGCCAGCCGCCGCGGUAAUAC